rnacentral:rRNA from 1 species
AUGAAAAUCCUAGUGUGGAACUGUCACGGGAUGCGUAAGCCCACGGCAGUUCGUGCGCUCUUGGGGAUCCAAGAGCGAUUAAAACCAGAUGUGUUGUUCCUGUCUGAAACACACCUGGAUAUGGCUAAGGCAGGGAAGUUGAAAAGGAGAUUAGGUUUUGAUGAGAUGGAAGUUUCAGAGAGCGACGGCAGAAGUGGUGGACUAAUCAUG